rnacentral:rRNA from 1 species
GCUUAGCAUGAAGUGAAGCACAUACACCUGCUGAAUUUAAGCAUAUAAGUAAGUGGUGGAAAUUAAACCAAAUGGGAUAUCUUUAGUAAUUGCGAAUGAACAAGGAUAUGCUUAGCUUGACAAAUGGAGCUAUUGGCUUUGAAUUGUAUUGUGGAAAUGUAUUACCAACAGAGGUGCAGGUGCCAGCCUAUUGAAAUAAAGCGUCAAUGAGGGUGAGAAUCCUGUUUGUCAUGUGCAGCCCUUUGUGCACGGUGUAUAUUUGCUGAGUCACACUCCUUGGCAUUGGAAUGCAAAGUGGGUGGUAGUUUCAUGUAAAGGUAAACAUGCAAUUGAGACUGAUAGCACACAAGUACCAUGAGGGAAAUAUGAAAAGGACUUUGAAAAGAGAAUUAAAUGAGUUUGUAUUUGCUGAACACAAAGUAAACAGACUUGAUUUGCUUGGUGGGAGUGUUGCACUUGCUUGACAAGAGCUUUGGGCUGUGGGUGUAAUGAUUCUUUCUUUGCAUGCCAGUUUCUAUUUGUACAUCUGAUUACCUUUGCACAUGAAUGAUAAGUCUCCUGUGGGGGGUGGAUUGCAUGUGCAUGUAAUGAUUUGUGUUUUGAUACAUGUGUCUGGUGUAUGUGUGUGUGUUCCUGUGCUUGGGGAUGCUUCCUUCCUUGGACUUACAAGCCCUGACACACACAUGCUGGCAAAAUGCUUCUGCUUGACCCGUCUUGAAACACGGACCAAGGAGUCUAACAGAUGUGCAAAGUUUGAAGGUGGUAUACCUUUGUGUGCAAUGAAAGUGUCAGCUGGGAUAUGUGCACCAGCACCCAAUUAAUUAGCGGACAGAGGUUUGAGUUGGAGCAUAUCUAUUAGGACCCGAAAGAUGGUGAACUAUGCCUGAACAGAAUGAAUUCAGGGGAAACUCUGAUGGAGGUUCGUAUCGAUACUGACGUGCAAAUCGUUCGU